CGGUUACUCCCUCCGUCCCGAAUUACUUGUCUUAGAUUUGUCUUGAUACAUUCAUAUCUAGACACAUUUUAGUGUUAGAUACAUCUGUAUCUAGACAAAUCUAAGACAAGUAAUUUCAGACGGAGGUAAUACUUU
rfam:Hordeum vulgare subsp. vulgare, WGS project CAJW01000000 data, contig: morex_contig_39694